rnacentral:rRNA from 1 species
GUGGGGAAUAUUGGACAAUGGGCGCAAGCCUGAUCCAGCAAUGCCGCGUGGGUGAAGAAGGCCUUCGGGUUGUAAAGCCCUUUUGUACGGGAAGAAAUCUUUCGGGUUAAUACCCUGGGUGGAUGACGGUACCGUAAGAAUAAGCACCGGCUAACUUCGUGCCAGCAGCCGCGGUAAUACGAAGGGUGCAAGCGUUAAUCGGAAUUACUGGGCGUAAAGCGUGCGUAGGUGGUUGUUCAAGUCUGUCGUGAAAGCCCUGGGCUCAACCUGGGAAUGGCGAUGGAAACUGGGCGACUAGAGUGCGGUAGAGGAUGGCGGAAUUCCCGGUGUAGCGGUGAAAUGCGUAGAGAUCGGGAGGAACAUCCGUGGCGAAGGCGGCCAUCUGGACCAGCACUGACACUGAGGCACGAAAGCGUGGGGAGCAAACAGGAUUAGAUACCCGAGUAGUCC